UAAGCAUAUCAAUAAGCGGAGGAAAAGAAACUAACAAGGAUUCCCCUAGUAACUGCGAGUGAAGCGGGAAGAGCUCAAAUUUAAAAUCUGGCGGUCUCUGGCCGUCCGAGUUGUAGUCUGGAGAAGUGCUUUCCGCGCUGGACCGUGUACAAGUCCCUUGGAACAGGGCGUCAUAGAGGGUGAGAAUCCCGUCUUUGACACGGACUACCAGUGCUUUGUGAUGCGCUCUCAAAGAGUCGAGUUGUUUGGGAAUGCAGCUCAAAAUGGGUGGUAAAUUCCAUCUAAAGCUAAAUAUUGGCGAGAGACCGAUAGCGAACAAGUACCGUGAGGGAAAGAUGAAAAGCACUUUGGAAAGAGAGUUAAACAGUACGUGAAAUUGCUGAAAGGGAAACACUUGAAGUCAGUCGCGUCGGCCAGAACUCAGCCUUGCUCUUUUGCUCGGUGCACUUUCUGGUUGACGGGCCAGCAUCGAUUUUGACCGUUGGAUAAAGGUUGGGGGAAUGUGGCACCUUCGGGUGUGUUUAUAGCCCUCGGUCACAUACAACGGUUGGGAUCGAGGAACUCAGUACGCCUUUGUGGCCGGGGCCUGUCCCACGUACACGUACUUAGGAUGCUGGCGUAAUGGCUUUAAAUGACCCGUCUUGAAACACGGACCAAGGAGUCUAACAUGCCUGCGAGUGUUUGGGUGGAAAACCCGAGCGCGCAAUGAAAGUGAAAGUUGAGAUCUCUGUCGUGGAGAGCAUCGACGCCCGGACCAGACCUUCUGUGACGGAUCCGCGGUAGAGCAUGUAUGUUGGGACCCGAAAGAUGGUGAACUAUGCCUGAAUAGGGUGAAGCCAGAGGAAACUCUGGUGGAGGCUCGUAGCGAUUCUGACGUGCAAAUCGAUCGUCAAAUUUGGGUAUAGGGGCGAAAGACUAAUCGAACCAUCUAGUAGCUGGUUCCUGCCG
rnacentral:rRNA from 1 species